CCUACGGGUGGCAGCAGUGAGGAAUAUUGGUCAAUGGACGAGAGUCUGAACCAGCCAAGUCGCGUGAAGGAUGACUGCCCUAUGGGUUGUAAACUUCUUUUAUAUGGGAGUAAAAUGUUCCACGUGUGGGAUUUUGUCUGUACCAUAUGAAUAAGGAUCGGCUAACUCCGUGCCAGCAGCCGCGGUAAUACGGAGGAUCCGAGCGUUAUCCGGAUUUAUUGGGUUUAAAGGGAGCGUAGGUGGAUUGGUAAGUCAGUUGUGAAAGUUUGCGGCUAAACCGUAAAAUUGCAUUUGAAACUGGUAGUCUUGAGUACAGGAGAGGUGGGUGGAAUUCGUGGUGUAGCGGUGAAAUGCUUAGAUAUCACGAAGAACUCCGAUUGCGAAGGCAGCUCACUGGACUGCAACUGACACUGAGGCUCGAAAGUGUGGGUAGCAAACAGGAUUAGAUACCCGAGUAGUC
rnacentral:rRNA from 1 species